UACGUAGGGGGCGAGCGUUGUCCGGAGUUACUGGGCGUAAAGCGCACGCAGGCGGUCUGCUAAGUUUGGAGUGACAGUUGGUGGCUUAACUGCCAAAGUGCUUCGAAAACUGACAGACUUGAGGGCUUCAGAGGAACACGGAAUUCCGGGUGGAGUGGUGAAAUGCGUAGAGAUCCGGAGGAACACCAAAGGCGAAGGCAGUGUCCUGGGGAGUACCUGACGCUCAGGUGCGAAAGCCAGGGGAGCGAACAGG
rnacentral:rRNA from 1 species